UACGUAGGGUGCAAGCGUUUAAUCGGAAUUACUGGGCGUAAAGCGUGCGCAGGCGGUUUUGUAAGUUUGUCGUGAAAUCCCCGGGCUCAACCUGGGAAUGGCGAUGAAGACUGCAAAGCUAGAAUCUGGCAGAGGGGGGUAGAAUUCCACGUGUAGCAGUGAAAUGCGUAGAGAUGUGGAGGAACACCGAUGGCGAAGGCAGCCCCCUGGGUCAAGAUUGACGCUCAUGCACGAAAGCGUGGGGAGCAAACAGG
rnacentral:rRNA from 1 species